CAGUGGAGAGUAGUUGGUGGGUUAGAUCGGUGGAAGUGCCUUUAAAUUGGGUGUUUUGUGACUUGAGUAAGUAUGCAAAUAAGAUAGAAAAAAAUAAGAGAGGAAUAAAGAGACAGAGAGUGCACAGAUAGAGGGCCGAGAGUUUGAGGAAAAAUACAGAGAGUGAGUUUUGAGGAAAAGACAGACUAGUUAAGAGAGUUUGAGGAGUACAGAGGAGCCGAGAUUGCAGAGGAGGCCGGAGUUUGAGGCUCUCUAUACUUUGAAUGGCUUGGAGUGGUUUUGCUUCAAAUGGUUUUGUUAAAGUUUUAGGUACCGAAGAUGAACGGGGAUCGCUAAAGACGGGCUUAGGAUGAAGAGUUGGCGUUGCGAGUUUUAUUUUUAUUUAUUUGGAGAAUUUUUUUGUAUAUUUGAGGAAAUUAAUUUUUGUAUAAAAGAGGGUAUUUUUUUUUUAUGAUCCUGGGUGUAUUUUGAUAUAUUUGCAUUUGUAUAAAUUGAGAAUUUAUUGAAAAUUUCAGGUCAUGACAAAAUGGUAUCAGAGCUGUACCCAGCCGGAAGUGUAAGUGUAGUGAUGAUGUAGACGGGUGUGAGUGGGCGAGUGUGUAGCACUGGUGAGCUACCACUCGUAGCCGAGUGUGUGUGGGCGGAUGACAUUCACUGGCAGUUACUGGGAUGGUUAGUUGGUGUGGUUGGGCGUGCAGGUAGCCUAAAUUUGUUGUUUUUUUUAGUGGGUGGGUAGGUGACGCAUCGACUAGUUACCACAACGGUUACGGAGUGUGUGGAAGGGUGACUAACACUGUCAGUUACCACAACGUCCUGCAUAUCACUGUAUCUCACAUCGCCUGGGUUAAGGAUUUAUGAAUUUGGUUUUAUGAUUAUUGGUGUUUUCGGGUACACGGAUUGUUAGAUCUGAAUUUUGAGGACAAAAUUCUCUUUAAGCGGUGGAGAUUGUGAUAACCCGAAUUUUUUUAAGGUUUUAAAUUUUAUGAUUUUUAAUCAAGAUUGAUUAUUUAAUUUUUUUAUUGGUGAUUUUGAGUUACUAAUAUUUUGUUCUUUAGUGUUGAUUUUAAUAAAAUUAUUUAAUUAUUUAUUUUAUUAAGUUAGUGAAGGUUUAGUUUUGAUAUUUUAUAUAUAUAGUUUAUAUAUGUUGUCUGUGGGGAUGCUUUAUGCUUGCUGCGGAAGUGGAAAGAAAUGAAGAGAAAAUUGAGAUUUGUUUUGCCUAUGAUAAUUGAUUUGGGAUGUUUUUAUUAUAUAUAUAUAUUGCACCAAAGUGAUAAGGAGGAGUCAAAAUGGAGAAAAGAAAAUUUGUGAUGUUGGUGGGCUCCAUUUGGAUAUUAAAUAGGGCAAGACUUUUUGACAUUGUUUUUUAUCACGUGGCCUUGUUUUCUUUGGUGGUGUUGCAUUGUAUAUAGAGGUGAUGUACAGUUCGCAGGACCCAUAAGGAUUUUCAUUGCCAAAGUUCAUUGGACUUGGCUCUUUACGUGGGCUGAAAUGAUGUUGUUUGACAUUUUGUUUUUGAGUGUGUGGUGGGCAGAUUGAUGUGUGUAUGGAGUCGGUGGAGAGCAGUUGGUGGGUUGGGUCGGUGGAAGUGCCUUUAAAUUGGGUGUUUUGUGACUUGAGUAAGUAUGCAAAUAAGAUAGAAAAAAGUAAGAGAGGAAUAAAGAGACAGAGAGUGCACAGAUAGAGGGCCGAGAGUUUGAGGAAAAAUACAGAGAAUGAGUUUUGAGGAAAAGACAGAGUGAGUUAAGAGUUUGAGGAGUACAAAGGAGCCAAGAUUGCAGAGGAGGCCGGAGCUUGAGGCUUUGAUGAUCUAGUGAGGAAACUCUUUUUCAGUUUUCAGGUACCGAAGAUGAACGGGAAUCGCUAGAGACGGGCUUAGGAUGAAGAGUUGGCGUUGCGAGUUUUAUUUUUAUUUAUUUAGAGAAUUUUUUUGUAUAUUUGGGGAAAUUAAUUUUUGUAUAAAAGAGGGUAUUUAUUUUAUUUUAUUUUAUUUUAUUUUAUGAUCCUAAGUGUAUUUUGAUGUAUUUGAAUUUGUAUAAAUUUAAGAUUUUAUUGGAAAUUUUGGGUCGUGACAAUACUACACAAAUUAACAUGUCUCUAUAUAGCAAGUUCUAGCAAGUUAAUAAACAUAAUAGGCAUGAAAAAUUAACAUUUAGGCAUACUUUUCACAUAAAUCAACUAAUACACAUAAUUACAUGCUUCAUAUACACAAUUAAGUCAUUUAAAGAAAAAUCCAACACAUU